UACGAAGGGGACUAACGUUGUUCGGAAUUACUGGGCGUAAAGCGCACGUAGGCGGAUUGUUAAGUCGGGGGUGAAAUCCCGGGGCUCAACUCCGGAAUGGCCUCCGAUACUGGCAAUCUUGAGGUCGGGAGAGGUGAGUGGAAUGGCGAGUGUAGAGGUGAAAUUCGUAGAUAUUCGCCGGAACACCAGUGGCGAAGGCGGCUCACUGGCCCGAUAAUGACGCUGAGGUGCGACAGCGUGGGGAGCAAACAGG
rnacentral:rRNA from 1 species